UAAGGAAUAUUGGUCAAUGGACGAAAGUCUGAACCAGCCAUCCCGCGUGCAGGAAGAAGGGGCUCUGCCUUGUAAACUGCUUUUGAAUGGGACGAAAGAGCUAUAUGCGUAUAGUGUUGACGGUACCAUUAGAAUAAGCACCGGCUAACUCCGUGCCAGCAGCCGCGGUAAUACGGAGGGUGCAAGCGUUAUCCGGAAUUACUGGGUUUAAAGGGUGCGUAGGCGGACUGAUAAGUCAGUGGUGAAAUCUCUCGGCUUAACCGAGAAACUGCCAUUGAUACUGUUAGUCUAGAGUACAGAUGAUGUGGGCGGAAUAUGACAUGUAGUGGUGAAAUACUUAGAUAUGUCAUAGAACACCGAUUGCGAAGGCAGCUCACAAAACUGUAACUGACGCUGAGGCACGAAAGUGCGGGGAUCAAACAGGAUUAGAUACCCCCGUAGUCCCUGAGCGGGCUGGCAAGGCGCAU
rnacentral:rRNA from 1 species